rnacentral:rRNA from 1 species
UACGUAGGGUGCGAGCGUUAAUCGGAAUUACUGGGCGUAAAGCGUGCGUAGGCGGUUCGUUAAGUCUGCUGUGAAAUCCCCGGGCUCAACCUGGGAAUGGCAGUGGAUACUGGCAAGCUAGAGUGCGGUAGAGGGUAGUGGAAUUCCCGGUGUAGCAGUGAAAUGACGUAGAGAUCGGGAGGAACACCAGUGGCGAAGGCGGCUACCUGGACCAGCACUGACACUGAAGCACGAAAGCGUGGGGAGCAAACAGG